UGCCAAUGAUGCUUCAAAGAGUAGUGGACAGGAGUGAUUUCUGACAACUUUUUAAAACUGAGGCU
rnacentral:snoRNA from 1 species